UGUCUUUUUGAAAAUAAUAUAAAGUCUAAUCUGCCCACUGAUUAAAUAAUUAAAGGGCUGCAGUAUAUUGACUGUACAAAGGUAGCAUAAUCAUUAGUCAUUUAAUUGAUGACUUGUAUGAAGGAUUUGAUGAAAUAUAAACUGUCUCUUAUUUAAUUAUAAAAUUUAAUUUUUUUAUUAAAAAGUUAAAAUAUCUUAAAAAGACGAGAAGACCCUAUAGAGUUUAAUAAAUUAUUAGAUUGAGAUUAUAUGUAAAACAAAUUUAAAAUAAAAUUAUUUAUUUUGUUGGGGUGAUAAAAAAAUACAUUAAACUUUUUUUUUAUUUUAAAACAUUUAUAAGUGAUUAAAUGAUCCAAUAAUAUUGAUUAUGAGAAAAAAUUACCUUAGGGAUAACAGCGUAAUUUUUUUUUUUAGUUCAAAUAAGAAAAAGAGUUUGCGACCUCGAUGUUGGAUUAAGAUAAAAUUUAAAUGUAGAAGUU
rnacentral:rRNA from 1 species